rnacentral:rRNA from 1 species
AGUGAACGCUGGCGGUAGGCCUAACGCAUGCAAGUCGAACGGCAGCACAGUAAGAGCUUGCUCUUACGGGUGGCGAGUGGCGGACGGGUGAGGAAUACAUCGGAAUCUACUUUUUCGUGGGGGAUAACGUAGGGAAACUUACGCUAAUACCGCAUACGACCUACGGGUGAAAGCAGGGGAUCUUCGGACCUUGCGCGAUUGAAUGAGCCGAUGUCGGAUUAGCUAGUUGGCGGGGUAAAGGCCCACCAAGGCGACGAUCCGUAGCCGGUCUGAGAGGAUGAUCAGCCACACUGGAACUGAGACACGGUCCAGACUCCUACGGGAGGCAGCAGUGGGGAAUAUUGGACAAUGGGCGCAAGCCUGAUCCAGCCAUACCGCGUGGGUGAAGAAGGCCUUCGGGUUGUAAAGCCCUUUUGUUGGGAAAGAAAAGCAGCAGGUUAAUACCCCGCUGUUCUGACGGUACCCAAAGAAUAAGCACCGGCUAACUUCGUG